rnacentral:rRNA from 1 species
UGGGGAAUUUUGGACAAUGGGCGCAAGCCUGAUCCAGCCAUGCCGCGUGCGGGAAGAAGGCCUUCGGGUUGUAAACCGCUUUUGUCAGGGAAGAAAUCUUCUGAGUUAAUACCUCGGGAGGAUGACGGUACCUGAAGAAUAAGCACCGGCUAACUACGUGCCAGCAGCCGCGGUAAUACGUAGGGUGCAAGCGUUAAUCGGAAUUACUGGGCGUAAAGCGUGCGCAGGCGGUUUUGUAAGACAGAGGUGAAAUCCCCGGGCUCAACCUGGGAACUGCCUUUGUGACUGCAAGGCUUGAGUGCGGCAGAGGGGGGAUGGAAUUCCGCGUGUAGCAGUGAAAUGCGUAGAUAUGCGGAGGAACACCGAUGGCGAAGGCAAUCCCCUGGGCCUGCACUGACGCUCAUGCACGAAAGCGUGGGGAGCAAACAGGAUUAGAUACCCCUGGUAGUCCACGCCCUAAACGAUGUCAACUGGUUGUUGGGAAGGUUCCUUCUCAGUAACGUAGCUAACGCGUGAAGUUGACCGCCUGGGGAGUACGGCCGCAAGGUUGAAACUUAAAGGAA